rnacentral:lncRNA from 1 species
ACAUUGGAAUCCUCACCAGAUCUCCGUCGUGGGCUUCCAGGACUUCUAAGAUACAAAAGAGAGUCCCAGGAAAGAACGUACAGUCCUCAGCCCCAACAGCAACUGGACUCUCCAAUAUGCUGUCAGUUCUGUGGUUCGAGAGCUUGGCCGCCUCUGGAUCCGGUUUAUGCAGAGACACGAGAGGACUUCUGCUGUGAGAAAUACAGAGAGUUGUUUGAGAUUGUGGUCCAUGAAAAGCAUCUAGCUAUGGAACGUUCUGAUGCAAGGCCUAGUGGACCUGCUCGACUAGAUGACCCCUUCAUCACUGAGGACGAAGAACUACAAGAUAAAGCACAAGAAAGAGGAAAACGCAGGUUUGUGUUGUACAAUACACUUAUGUUCUGG